CACCUGCUGGGCUGUGAGCUGUGACAUUAACACCGGCACACUGUUCAUAACACUGUGUGAGCCUGUAAGGGUGAAGGUGUGUGUUCAUUGCACUCAACAAAGAGAGGAGAUUUAAACCGACAGAGAGGCGACUCUGAAAGCAAAGGAUCUGAUCCUUCUGUCCUCAAACUACUACACUCUGCUUGCCUUUUGUCAGCAAAAAAAAACAAAACAACAUGGGAAGAGGAGAGAGUGAGGAGUGGGAUGAAAAGCAACAGGACACGAGGCAAACUCAGCCCCAGAGACACGAGGACACAGAGAGUCAAAGCUCAGGCAGUAGUUGUCCCAAGUGCUGCUUGCGGACGAGGGACUGUCUGAUGAGCCCGGAAUGCGGCAGAGCACUUCAGAUCUCCAGUGUCGUCGCCUGGUGUGGCAUGUGCAUCCGUAUGUUUGUGUAACCUAACCUUGGACAUCAGGACCAGCUUUUCCAGGCUUUGUUGAUUCUCAGCAUCCUCCAGCAUGAGUCACGCAUGCCGUGUGCUUUUCUUCUAAUCUGAGAUGAAAAAUACUCACCUCUGUGAGUGAGUUUCAUCAGUUCUAUCCACAAGUUAUUUAACAUAAACAAAAUGAAGCUGUUUCUAUGAAAACAUGCAGAAAACCAACUAGCAAGGGAAUGCUCAUGAAAGAACUGUUACACAUUAGUGUGAAUGAAUGAAUGCAAGAAUAAAUCUUUGUAAAAGGUAUAUUUGGAUUGUUUGAAGCUUAUCUGACUGACCACUUCUGAUUGAUCAAUAUGACACAGUAUUUAUAUUCAGUGCAGAUGUUGUAUGUUUGUAGUUGAGAGGUUUUCAGUAUGUAAAAAUAAUUGUAACAUAAUGAAAGUAAUAAAAACUAGGUGGGCCUGA